AUGGAAUGCGAGAAUGCACACAUUGCAGCCAACGGAGAUGGCUUGUGCGUGGCGCAGCCGGCGCGGGCCGACCCACUGAACUGGGGGAAGGCGGCGGAGGAGCUCUCGGGGAGCCAUUUGGAUGCGGUGAAGCGGAUGGUAAAAGAGUACCGUAAGCCGGUGGUGACCAUGGAGGGCGCCAGCCUGACCAUCGCCAUGGUCGCCGCGGUGGCUGCCGGCAGCGACACCAGGGUGGAGCUCGACGAGUCCGCCCGCAGCCGCGUCAAGGAGAGCAGCGACUGGGUCAUGAACAGCAUGAUGAACGGCACCGACAGCUACGGCGUCACCACCGGCUUCGGCGCCACCUCUCACCGGAGGACCAAGGAGGGCGGCGCUCUGCAGAGGGAGCUCAUUAGAUUCCUUAACGCGGGAGCCUUCGGCACCGGCACCGACGGCCACGUUCUACCUGCCGCGGCGACGAGGGCCGCGAUGCUCGUCCGAGUCAAUACCUUGCUCCAGGGAUAUUCAGGCAUCCGCUUCGAGAUCCUGGAGACGAUCGCCACACUUCUCAACGCCAACGUGACACCAUGCCUACCGCUUCGAGGCACGAUCACCGCGUCGGGUGACCUCGUCCCGCUUUCGUACAUCGCCGGCCUGGUCACCGGCCGCCCAAACUCCAUGGCGACGGCUCCAGAUGGUACGAAGGUUAAUGCUGCGAAGGCAUUUAAGAUCGCUGGCAUCCAGCACGGCUUCUUCGAGCUGCAGCCCAAGGAAGGCCUUGCCAUGGUGAAUGGUACGGCAGUGGGCUCAGGGCUUGCAUCCAUGGUGCUUUUCGAGGCCAACGUCCUUAGCCUCCUUGCUGAGGUCUUGUCGGCCGUCUUCUGUGAGGUCAUGAAUGGCAAGCCGGAGUACACCGACCACUUGACCCACAAGUUGAAGCACCACCCCGGGCAAAUUGAGGUUGCCGCCAUCAUGGAGCACAUCCUUGAAGGCAGCUCCUACAUGAUGCUCGCAAAGAAGCUCGGGGAGCUUGACCCACUGAUGAAGCCAAAGCAAGAUAGGUAUGCACUCCGCACGUCGCCGCAGUGGCUUGGCCCUCAGAUUGAAGUCAUCCGUGCUGCCACCAAGUCAAUCGAGCGGGAGAUCAAUUCCGUCAACGACAACCCACUCAUCGAUGUCUCGCGCGGCAAAGCUAUCCAUGGUGGCAACUUCCAGGGCACGCCCAUCGGUGUGUCCAUGGACAACACCAGGCUUGCCAUUGCUGCGAUCGGCAAGCUCAUGUUUGCCCAGUUCUCGGAGCUGGUGAACGACUUCUACAACAACGGUCUGCCUUCCAACCUCUCCGGCGGGCGCAACCCAAGCUUGGACUAUGGCUUCAAGGGUGCCGAGAUUGCCAUGGCCUCGUACUGCUCUGAGCUCCAAUUCUUGGGCAACCCUGUGACCAACCAUGUCCAGAGCGCGGAGCAACACAACCAAGAUGUCAACUCUCUUGGUCUCAUCUCCUCAAGGAAGACCGCAGAGGCCAUUGACAUAUUGAAGCUCAUGUCCUCGACAUUCUUGGUCGCGUUGUGCCAGGCUAUCGACCUUCGCCACCUCGAGGAGAAUGUCAAGAAUGCUGUCAAGAGCUGCGUGAAGACGGUGGCUAGGAAGACACUGAGCACUGAUAACAAUGGUCAUCUCCACAAGGCACGCUUCUGCGAGAAGGACCUUCUGCUCACAAUCGACCGUGAAGCCGUGUUCGCGUACGCAGAUGACCCCUGCAGCGCCAACUACCCCCUCAUGCAGAAGAUGCGUGCAGUUCUUGUGGAGCACGCCUUGGCCAAUGGUGAGGCCGAGCGCGACGUGGAGACAUCGGUGUUUGCCAAGCUUGCCAUGUUCGAGCAGGAGCUCCGUGCAGUGUUGCCAAAGGAGGUCGAGGCCGCCCGCAGUGCCGUGGAGAAUGGCACUGCAGCACAACAAAACCGUAUCGCCGAUUGUCGGUCGUACCCGCUCUACCGGUUCGUGCGCAAGGAGCUUGGAACAGAGUAUUUGACCGGGGAGAAGACGCGGUCUCCUGGAGAAGAGGUAGACAAGGUGUUCGUUGCCAUGAACCAGGGCAAGCACAUCGACGCGCUGCUGGAGUGUCUCAAGGAGUGGAACGGCGAGCCCCUACCUAUCUGUUGA
rnacentral:rRNA from 1 species